rnacentral:ncRNA from 1 species
GUGUAUGAAAGAUAGUUAGCACUCCCAUUGACAAAGAUGGAUGAGGUCCUCAGGCCUAACAAUACACAUACAGUUAAGGCAUCGCCACCUACUUUGUACCAUCUCACCAACAUGUUUC